UUGAAACAACAUCUUUUGUAUCAUGAGAAGUAGAUAGGUGAUUAUUUUCCCCUAUAAAAUAAAUAUGAUGCUAUUUCUUUUUCUAGGACUCUCAUGGUAUCCCAAGUGGAAGAUUAUCUUAACAUUUUACAGGUAAUUAGAGGCACAAAGACUCAUGUAACAGAUCAUGUUUACCUUCUUGUUUAGACUACAAGGGAACUUGAAACUUUGGCAUGAACUAGGAGUACUGACUCUUGGCUUCAUCUUACCUUUUCUACCUCAUUUUAGCCUUUGUCCCAAUUGACUCACCUACUUAUUUCAAAUUUCAUUCUAUGUUAUAUUUUUUUUGGUAAGUUUCCUUAAAUAUUUUUUUAAACAAAAUAAGACAUGAAUAAAAAUAAGACCCCCAGAACUGAUGUGCACACAUAUAUAAGCAUACAUAAAUAAACAAAUCAUGUGAAGGUA